CCAGUGCCUCUCCAUGAAAUCAUUGUUGCAUCCCUGGACCAGAGCAGAGCUAAUUUGCUAGCCGGCAGCUAGCUCUAACAUUCAGAGCGUCAAACAAACACAUAUCAGUUCAUCCACACAGCACUGUAAUAAUCCAUGUAUAUUUACUGUAUAUUU